rnacentral:misc_RNA from 1 species
GAUGAAGAACGUAGCGAAAUGCGAUAAGUAAUGUGAAUUGCAGAAUUCCGUGAAUCAUCGAAUCUUUGAACGCACAUUGCGCCCCCUGGUAUUCCAGGGGGCAUGCCUGUCCGAGCGUCAUUGCAACCCUCAAGCGCGGCUUGUGUGUUGGGCUUCGUCCCCCCGUGGACGUGCCCGAAAGGCAGUGGCGGCGUCCCGAAUGGUGCCCGAGCGUAUGGGAACUCUCUUCCGCUCGAACCGGCCCAUUCGGCGCUGGUCGAACCCCAAUUUUUUUUACCGGUUGACCUCGGAUCAGGUAGGGAUACCCGCUGAACUUAAGCAUAUCAAUAAGCGGAGGA